rnacentral:rRNA from 1 species
GACCCCAGGUCAGGCGGGGACACCCGCUGAGUUUAAGCAUAUCAAUAAGCGGAGGAGAAGAAACUUACAAGGAUUCCCCUAGUAACGGCGAGCGAACCGGGAUCACCCCAGUUUGAGAAUCGGGGGGUUGCCCCCCCCAAUUGUAAUCUGGAAAAAACCUCA